CAGCCGCCGCGGGAACACGAAGGGUGCAAGCGUUAAUCGGAAUUACUGGGCGUAAAGCGUGCGUAGGCGGUUUGUUAAGUCUGUUGUGAAAUCCCCGGGCUCAACCUGGGAAUGGCAAUGGAUACUGGCAAGCUAGAGUGUGUCAGAGGAUGGUGGAAUUCCCGGUGUAGCGGUGAAAUGCGUAGAGAUCGGGAGGAACAUCAGUGGCGAAGGCGGCCAUCUGGGACAACACUGACGCUGAGGCACGAAAGCGUGGGGAGCAAACAGGAUUAGAUACCCCCGUAGUCCCUGUCUCUUAUAA
rnacentral:rRNA from 1 species